GUACUUGCUUCGGCCAGUGCAUACACUGAAAUUGGUACGAUACGGCAAAGCUUAACAUGGCUCCUACAUGAGGAUGACACCCAAAAUCGUGAAGCGUUCCACAAUUUU